AGUCCACAAUAGAUCCAAGAACAAAAAGAGAAUAAUUAUGUUCCCUUUUCAAUACUCAGAGUUUAGUACCAAAUUUCAUCGCUGCACCAACAUGGAAUGCAACACCAAUAAAGAAAUCAUG